GGCUGGGUGGUGUAGUCGGUUAGAGCGCGUGAUGGCAAGUGUCCUUUAGCUGCGAGUUCGAAUCCCGCCGCCGCCGGCCA